rnacentral:lncRNA from 1 species
CGGUACCUCAGAUGGAAAUGCAGAAAUCACCCGUCUUCUGCGUCGCUCACGCUGGGAGCUGUAGACGGGAGCUGUUGCUAUUCGGCCAUCUUCGAUGCCUGACAUUUUUAAGGCUAGGCUGGCAAACAAUCCAUGAAGACCGCCUCCAGAGAAGAGACUCAUAUUACACCAUACUAUCUGAAUACAGUGCAUUAAAGGAGGUGCAGAGACUGAAGAUCUGCAUUAAGCAGCAAGUACUUCAGCCCAGGUCCAUGUUCUACGCUCUAUGCAAAUUUCAAAGCUACAUUUCUGGGACCCUUGGCAGGGUGCUCAGGCCAAGCGAGGAUACUGGGUAGAGUCACAAAUUACCCAUGUACUUCCUUUACAUUUGCUUCCACCAGGACUUUAAUUCAGUUUAAAUCAGUUCAAGGUGAAUAUCAAGGGAAACACUGAAGAGUAAAAGAAGUAACAAGAGAGUGUGGUGGGAGUUGUGUACCAAAAGGUAACAAAGACUGCUCUACCCAAUUGCCUUUGUGGAGUGAUGAUGCAUCUGUUGUGUGUGUGUAUGUGGGUUGUACUUUUUUCCUAUACUAUGUGUUGAAGAGGAGGGACUGGGCUGGCCAUUGAGGGAGUGGCCCAAUUGGCAUAUGCUGUGUGCACGGCCAUUCAGCAGGAGAGGGAAUAGCCAGUGAUGGAUCACCUUGACAACAGAGCCAGAAGGCUUCCAGGGUCUUCACAGGCUGGUGGCACCAUGCUAAAUAUACUGUAAUCUAAUACCUGCAACAUCUGUGCAGCCUCAGAAAACUGAUUUUGGCUACAGCUUGAGGAGGACUACCUUCUGAGACACAUUCACAUUAAAUAAAUUCAUAAGCCUGAUGAAGAUAAUUUGAAGGCCAAUUCAUUCUCUUCAGUUCUCUUCAAAGGCUGACAAUAUUUGCUCUACUCCACAUGAUCUUUCUGAACUGACCUCCUGCUACCCACCUCAUGCACCUUGCUUGAGCUACCCUGACCCCGUGCUCUUCCUCAAACACACCAGACAUGCUCACUCUAUCCAGGGUACUUUCCCUUAUUUAUCCUUACAUCUUGCUCCCUCAGCUCCUUUUGGACUUCUCAGUGAAGCUUUAUUCACAUCCUUGUUUAAAAUGCAACAUCAGAGGAGUCACAUCAGCAAGAUGACUGAAUCUGAGGUCCCAGGCUUCACUUUCUGCCACAGAUAUUUCAGCUAGCAAUUAUCCUCAGAUGAAAAGAACUUUGUGAAAACCCAAAAACUUAGGACUAAGACUGAGUGUAAACCAUAGAACUAAAUAAAAUUAUAUCAUAAGAUAAGAGGAAUGAUUUCACUUUGACUACAUCAUCAUUUCCCUCCUUCAAGACAACACGACACAUAGCGAAGAUCCCCUGAAUCGACAGUUUCCAUAGUGAGUAAAGAGCUCUGGAGGUAGUCAUCCAGCUUCUCAGUAUUCAGAGACACUUCUCAGGGAGCUCGCCCCCAUCUCACCUCAAAGGGAACACUAGGUGUAACAAUGGGACUAGACCACCUGGGAUCAGAUAGAAACACCAAAAGGAGGCUCAAGGAUCUUGAUGAUAGCCCUGUGUUUCUGCCGUUGAUGGCAUCCCAGCCAACAGCAGAGCUCACCCACAAAGCCAAGCUGGUGGAUCCCAGAAGUAUAGCAGGACGUUCAAGCUGGCUAGAGCCCUAGGCAGCCAGCCUCCAUACCCAGCCUUGGAGCCUACACCAGAUCCCCACCCAGGCAAGGAGACACCAGCCACAACACAUUUCUGUUGAGCGUAGG